GCUCCUCCCUUACACUGAGAAGUUGUCCGUGCAAAUCGGACUGUCCUGAC
rnacentral:tRNA from 1 species